rnacentral:rRNA from 1 species
GUGAGGAAUAUUGGACAAUGGGCGCAAGCCUGAUCCAGCCAUGCCGCGUGCAGGAAGACGCAUCUAUGGUGUGUAAACUGCUUUUGUACGGGAAGAAACACUCCCUCGUGAGGGAGCUUGAUGGUACCGUAAGAAUAAGGAUCGGCUAACUCCGUGCCAGCAGCCGCGGUAAUACGGAGGAUCCAAGCGUUAUCCGGAAUCAUUGGGUUUAAAGGGUCCGUAGGCGGUUUAAUAAGUCAGUGGUGAAAGCCCAUCGCUCAACGAUGGAACGGCCAUUGAUACUGUUAGACUUGAAUUACAAGGAAGUAACUAGAAUAUGUAGUGUAGCGGUGAAAUGCUUAGAUAUUACAUGGAAUACCAAUUGCGAAGGCAGGUUACUACUUGUGGAUUGACGCUGAUGGACGAAAGCGUGGGGAGCGAACAGGAUUAGAUACCCGGGUAGUCC